GACGAACGCUGGCGGCGUGCCUAAUACAUGCAAGUAGAACGCUGAAGGAGGAGCUUGCUCUUCUGGAUGAGUUGCGAACGGGUGAGUAACGCGUAGGUAACCUGCCUGGUAGCGGGGGAUAACUAUUGGAAACGAUAGCUAAUACCGCAUAAGAGUAGAUGUUGCAUGACAUUUGCUUAAAAGGUGCAAUUGCAUCACUACCAGAUGGACCUGCGUUGUAUUAGCUAGUUGGUGGGGUAACGGCUCACCAAGGCGAGGAUACAUAGCCGAACUGAGAGGGUGAUCGGCCACACUGGGAGUGAGACACGGCCCAGACUCCUACGGGAGGCAGCAGUAGGGAAUCUUCGGCAAUGGACGGAAGUCUGACCGAGCAACGCCGCGUGAGUGAAGAAGGUUUUCGGACCGUAAAGCUCUGUUGUAAGAGAAGAACGAGUGUGAGAGUGGAAAGUUCACACUGUGACGGUAUCUUACCAGAAAGGGACGGCUAACUACGUG
rnacentral:rRNA from 1 species